rnacentral:rRNA from 1 species
GAUGAACGCUAGCGGCAGGCUUAACACAUGCAAGUCGAGGGGCAACACGGGUAGCAAUAUCUGGUGGCGACCGGCGCAAGGGUGCGUAACGCGUGAGCAACAUGCCCAUAUCAGGGGGAUAACCCGGAGAAAUUCGGCCUAAUACCGCAUAAUAUCUAUUAGGAGCAUUUUUAAUAGAUUAAACCGCUUUAGGGGAUAUGGAUUGGCUCGCGUGACAUUAGUUAGAUGGUAAGGUAACGGCUUACCAUGACAACGGUGUCUAGGGGAACUGAGAGGUUUAUCCCCCACACUGGAACUGAGACACGGUCCAGACUCCUACGGGAGGCAGCAGUGAGGAAUAUUGGACAAUGGAUGGAAAUCUGAUCCAGCCAUGCCGCGUGAAGGACGACGGUCCUAUGGAUUGUAAACUUCUUUUAUAUUGGAGCAAUAAUGAAUAUGUAUAUUCAGAUGAGAGUACAAUAUGAAUAAGCAUCGGCUAACUCCGUGCCAGCAGCCGCGGUAA